AAGCAGAAAGGGGAGCCUAAACUCCCCCAAUCGUAUCUGCAUCAUCGUUCUUGUUAGUGCUACCGGCCUGUUGUUCUUGUUUUAGCCGCGGCCUCCAACGGAGGCCAGGAGCGAACGGAUUUGUUUGGACGCUGAUGUUGCCUUGAUCCUGAGAUCCAACCCGACUGUCGUUGCGUUAAAACGCGAU
rnacentral:misc_RNA from 1 species